UGUGCCACAGAGAAAAAAUAGGUUUAAGAACUUUGACUUAGGAGUAAGUCAAAGAUGCCCUGACACAUACUAGUUAGAAUGGCAAACAAUUUUUUAAUAAUGAAAAAUGCCAAGUUUUGUUUAGAAUGUGGAAGAACUGGGAUGCUCAUUCACCGAUAGUGGGAUGUAAAUUGUUACAGGCAUAACGACUUUGGAAAACAAUUUGUCAGUAUCUAUUAAAGCAGAACAUACAUAUACCCUGUGGCCUGGCAAUUAGCUUCUGGGUGGAUGCUCAAUUGGAGUGUGUACAUAUGUGCACCAAAAGACAAACUAUUCAUAAUAUCUUCAAACUGCCCAUCAAUAGCAGAAGUCAUAAAUAUGGUGUAUUCAAGGAUGGAAUUCUACAUAGUAAUAAGUGGAGCUAUCUUUAAUUCUAAAAGCUAUAACUUUGUGGUUCAAAGAGGGAGGCACACAUUUAUCAAGGCAAUAUGUCUGGCAGAGUCUGAUUGCUGUUUCCCACCUGCACCAGAAGGCUUGGACUGGAUGCUGUUCUUCUGUGUCUUGGGGCCUCAGGGGUGGUUUGUUGAAAUGACUUGGCUUUUAAGGAAAGCAGAUGAGCAGCUAACGUUGGCUAACAUUUAUUGAAUAUUUGCUUUGUGCCAAGCACUGUACUAAGCAGAGCUGCUUUGAGGGAGAGGAGAAGCCGGUUCAAAUUACUAGAAUCUAGUGGUCUGGAGGGAGGCCUUGGAUAUGUCGAUAUUGAAUAUCAAUGCAAAUCCUCAAGAUAUAUAUAUUUUUUAGUUGGAUGACCCUGUUGAUGGGGAUUUUGAAUUACUUUUCUUUGGUUUCCAAUCUUUGAAGUAGGAAGUGUUGUAUUUUAAAGAGCAUAAAACAAAUUCACAAAAGGUUAAGUGAUUUGCUCAAUGUCACAUAGCUAAUAAGAGACCUAGACAGGAUGUGAACCCAGCUAGACUGACUCCAGAGGCUAAGACAUUAGCAACUAAACUAUGCUGACUAAUGGUUGUUUAUUUUUAUGUCACCAAAGUCCAAACAGGACAGAGUAAGAUGAGGAUGGACAAGCCACAGUGCAAAUGCAGAAGGACCUAAAUGUUGGAAAUUAAUCCAGAUAGCAAAUGAUACCUAGGUCAAAGAGUCUUGGCAAUCUCUGGUAAAUAUUUUUCCCAGAAGGUUUCAAACAUAAUUCAAGUUUAUUUAAAAGUCUAAAUCAGUUUCUCAGAGCAGAUAAACUCCGACUCCCGCUUGAGAAAAGAACUCAAUCAUUUUAUCUUGUUUUUGGAGCAACUAACUUGCCCACCUCACAGCAGGGAAAGGUUUGCUGUUUUUUUUUCUUUUUAAGAGUCAGUGGGGUUAUAGCCAUAGGCAUUUGCAGAAGCAUUAACUGCUACUGUGUGAGGACAUUUGCAGCCCCAAGUUAAGCUUUCUAUUUUUCUUUCUGGGUCUCUUUCAGAGCCCUGGUAAAAAGAUUUUUUAGUAUAUAUCCAAAAACCCAAGACAAGGGCCCUCACUUGAUCUGAAUUUAUGAUGGCCACAUUACACUUGCUGACUACCCCAUGAUAUCUCUGCAAUGAAGAGUAAUGCUUUACAAGUAUCGCUGUGUGUGUGUGUGUGUGUGUGUGUGUGUGUGUGUGUUUCAGAACAAAUGUUUUAAUUCAGGAUUUAGGUGACUGCUCCUUUUAGAAAAAGAAGGUGCCAGUAGAAACUGAAAUACAAGGAACUCAGCUAGUGGUCAGGAAGGAGCUUAGCUGGAGGUGGCGACUGUUUCGUCAGAAGUUAGUAUCUGGUUGUCAUUGUCAUUUGCAUAAAAUAAGUCAUUUUAUUUUUUUUAUUUACAUGAAACACAGAUUUCAUGUUAAUGUGACUUGUCAACUACCUAGUUAACUGACAAUUAGCUGCCACUGCUGAUAAUUUUGUAGAUUAAUGAGAUGAAAGGUAUAAAUGUUCUUCAAGGAGAAUUGCACACAUACUCAAUACACACAUAUUUAAAGGGUUUGGGACAUUCUAAAGUCACCUCUGAACCAGAUCAAUAACCUCCUUCAUUGAUUCCAUUAUGUGAUCAAAGAUGGCAUUUGCCACCUACAUUUGGUGGUAGAUUAUCCCCAGUAAGUCUUUUAGAAGAUGACAUCUUCACCCCCAGUGUCUUUCUUUAGUACUGAUAAUCAAGGAUUUUGUGAAUUAGCAGGAUUUACUGGCUGUUGAGUGCAUAUCAGUUCAAGUCCUCCAAGAAGCUGAUGCCAAGACAGGACUAGAUACACAAGAAAUUUAUGGGGAGGAAACUCCUGUGAAGGGUAAAGGAGGAGGGAGCUUUUUUUUUUUCAAUACAAUAUUUAUAGGCAUCGUAAUUGUUCAAUAAGGGGAUGGGGUGGAGUUAACAUCCACAGAUAUUGAAUAGAUCAGCUUUAUAACACAACCUUUACCUUUUGCCCUGGGCCAAUGAACAUCAUCAUCAUCAUCAAAACAAUAAGAUAUUAAUAUUUCAGUGUGGAGCCCAUACUACUCAUCAAAAUGCCACAGAAGCCAUGCUAGUAUUGAGUGCCUCUUCCAGCUUGUGGUCUCCGUAGGAUUAAGUCCUAAGAUGGAUGUCCAGUUUUCAUUUUCCUCCUGUUCCAACCAAGACCAAGAGGGCUAUGGGAUCUUUCUCUCAUGUCCACUGCAUGGGGAGAGAAUGAACAAAAGACAAUGGAGGAUUCUUUUCACUAAACAGUGGAACAGGAGAUGGGCUACUCUCCCUUGGGUUGUGUUCUCUGGGGGAGUGAGAUGCAGUAGAAGUGCACUGGGUGGGAGAACAAAGAGGUCUGAGAGAGUAAAGGGGCAGGGACAGGACGGGGCACUAAAUUUAGAUUUAACUGUGCAAUGUCUUUUCCAUUGUUUGCUUUUUCAUGUAUUUAUUGUUUUAUUCAAUUAUUAUAGAGUGG
rnacentral:lncRNA from 1 species